rnacentral:pre_miRNA from 1 species
UCAUCAGUUCAUGGUUCGACACCAUGGAUCUCCAGGUGGGUCAAGACUAUAGAGAUACACCAACCUGGAGGACUCCAUGCUGUUGAGCUGUUCACAA